AUGUUGAUGAGUGCAAAUCUAAUCCAUGCCGAGACAACAGGAGGUGCAUCAACAGUCUUAACAGUUUCCAGUGUGUGUGCUCCAGAGGUUUCAUGGGCUAUCACUGUGAGAGAAACAUUGAUGAGUGCUCAUCCAACCCCUGUGUUCAUGGGAGUUGCCUGGAUGAAAUGGAUGCAUACAGCUGUCAGGGUGAGGUUGGAUGAACCGGUCACAGAUGUGAGAUCAACAUUAAUGAGUGUGAGACUCAUCCUUGUCUUAAUGGAAGCUCAUGUGUGGAUCUUCAGGACAAAUAUGCCUGCAUAUGCAUAUGUUUCACUGGGAAGGACUGUGAGAUUGAC
ensembl:lncRNA